AUGUUGCCCAGCUUAACAUGGAGCCUGGUUGAAACCUUGUUUCUAAACAGACUGUACUGCAUCAUCACCAGUGGCUCCUUUAAGGGAAAAGGGUGUCACAAUAGGAAAGAUGACAUCCAGGUGCAGACUGCAUGGAUGGUCACAGUGACUAAUAAAAUAUUCAGCAGUUGCUGCUGUGGCCUCAGCAAGGACGUGCAGCAGAGCCAGCUGAUGCCUGAGUGUGAGGAAGUGCACCGGGAUUCGUGGUUUCUGUCAUGUCCCGCAGUGAUGGCUUCAAAAGAAGGUGAAAGAAAGAGACCUAAGGCACUCCACCAGAGGCUCCAACUCCCUAAUGUCCUUCUUUGGAUAAUUUCAUUCAACAAGUUGCAAAUUCACCUAGCCAUCUUCUCAUUCGGCCUAUUUUCUCAUCUCGUACGAGCACUUGAACACGCCAGGGCUCUGACCUCCCGGACACGAAAAAAUAAACAAGAAAAAAAGAGAAAAGAAAUGAGCAGGCGACGUUUCCAGCCCCCACUGCUCCUCGGGCAGUCAGGUAAAGCCUUGCAACCGAGGCAGAAGGGCUCCGUGAGCAGGUUCCCCGUCCAGGUUGUUACAACGAGAGCAGGGUCCCCGCAGAAGGUCGCUCGCUCGCCUGCUCUCGGCACCCACGAUGGAGGCCUUCAGUGACUGUUGAGCCCAGGUACAGAGUGUCGAGCUCCCCGCACCCUCGGCCCUGCCGUCUCCUAGCUGAUCCUCAGCUCCCCACACCCUCGGCCCUGCUGUCUGUCUCCUAGUUGAGGACCCCCAGACUCACUCUCUGCACCCCCAGGAAGAGCCUCCAUUCUGCUGUCAGAUCGGCUGCAGCAGGGCUGGUGUCCGGGACCUAGAGUUUCCACGAUCCACCUUCCCGCCCUGGGCCAGUGAAAACAUUUGGAGCCUCUGACUUCGUCUCCACAGGCUCAAGGCAGAGGGGAGCAGAGAUCACCCGAGCUGGCGUAGGCCAGCGACGGUGCCAGAGCUUCUCAUCAAAUGAGACCAUGAGGGUUUGGCCCGGGCACUGGGAGCUGGUCCUAACAGCCCAAGAAAGAGGUCGUCGACCGAGAAAGUCAAGUUCUCUGGGUGGUGGCUGUCUGGGCACAGUUAGCGAUGGGACUGUGCAAAACACAGCUCUGCAAAGGCGUCUCUGGGAAGUGACCUCCUGCCCCGCGGCCACGCCUCCCACUGCUCGUCCGACGUGCCCUCUGGCCCCCCCCCGAGCCCCGAAGCCCAGACCCUGGGCACCUGGCAGCAGGGGAAUGAGACCCCGCCCG
rnacentral:lncRNA from 1 species